GGGAGCAGCAUAACGCCUUGUAUCCUGAUCUCAUCAAGAUCUCGGAAGCGGAGCAGGCUGGGUCUGGUCUGUACUGGGAUGAGAGAUCUCCAAGGAAACCAAGGUUGCUGCUGACU
rnacentral:rRNA from 1 species